UACGGAGGGUGCAAGCGUUGUUCGGAAUUAUUGGGCGUAAAGGGCGUGUAGGUGGCUCGACAAGUCUGGUGUGAAAGCCCACGGCUCAACCGUGGAACUGCAUUGGAAACUGCUGGGCUCGAGUGUUGGAGGGGGUCGCGGAAUUCCCGGUGUAGAGGUGAAAUUCGUAGAUAUCGGGAGGAACACCAGUGGCGAAGGCGGCGACCUGGCCAAUCACUGACACUGAGACGCGAAAGCGUGGGGAGCAAACAGG
rnacentral:rRNA from 1 species